GGAUGUGAGGGCGACCUGGCUGCGACAUCUGUCACCCAUUGAUCGUCAGGGUUGAUUCGGCCGAUCUGGCUGGCUGGGCAGGGGUCCCCUUCCUCCCUCACCGAUCCACGUGCGUCCCUCCGAAAGCUGCACUCUCGGUUGGUGAGGGCGACCUUCCCGGAUAGAAGAGGACCGUUCUUCCGUCAAGGGUAUACAAAUAGCUGCUCCCCUGCUAGAACCUCCAAACAAAAUCUUUGAUGUUCCAGAAAGAAUACACCUCACCUUCAGGAGAACAGGCCGACUUCCCU
rnacentral:snRNA from 1 species